AGCGGGUUUAGAUGGGCUGAAAGAAAAGAUCUCGUGUGUGUGUCAGUCAGGAUGGGUAAGGGGGUUUAAAUGGAUGCCAACACAAAUCGAUCCAUCAAUUUGGAUUUAGGAACGACUGACGCACGCCAAGGAAGGAGAUAAACAAGUUCAUCUUCCUCAAUCGAUCCAUCAAUUCGCAACUCAUUUUCCGAACGAGGAUUAGGGUUUCUGAGAAGGUCACAAAUUCUUCCUCAUUCAAAACCUUCACCCCCAACUUCCAAGCCCGAAUUUCAAAAUUCAAUCACAGAUUCACUCUAAAAUCGACAAAUAAUUGAUCAAGAUGCCGCAAGUGAGGAUCAUAGCGAAGAAUUUCAUGGAUAUGGUGGCUUCAUUACCCGCCAUGAAGCUUGACAAGUUAUAUGAUAAUCCCUUCAUCUGUGAAGCCAUUCUAAGAUCUUUGCCACCAUUGGCGAAGAAGUAUGUUCUCCAGAUGCUGUAUAUAGAUGUUGCUGUGACAGACACUUUGUUGCAAGAGUGGGUUCUUGCUGAUGGUGCUUCAAAGCAUAAAGUUGCUGUUGAUAGAUUAAUUCAGUUGAGAGUCUUUACUGAAGUUGUUGACAGGAAAAAGGAGACCACUUACUUGUUAAACCAGAAGUUCCGGAUGAACCUCCGGGAGCAUAUUAUUCGCGGUGGUGUACCGCCACGAGAACCUAUGGCUGCAAAUAUAACCGUACGGCUCCCAAGCUUGGAGGAUCUAGACAACUAUGCAGCUCAACAAUGGGAGUGUUUCUUGCUGCAUCUCAUAAACUCUGCGGAAGCUGAGGUUACGACGAAAAGCAUCAGCCCUUCAAUGAUGAAAGUCUUCCAACGAGGCCUUUUAAGUCAAAGAGACAAAGAAGGUCCGAGGCUUACUGAAAGUGGUUUCCAGUUUUUGCUAAUGGAUACCAAUGCACAACUCUGGUAUAUCAUCAGGGAGUAUAUCAGUAAUUCAGAGGAUAGAGGUGUGGAUUCAGCAGAUCUCAUCUCAUUUCUGCUUGAACUUAGCUUUCAUGUUACUGGCGAGGCGUAUAACGUGAACACUUUAGAUGAUAUACAAAGGACAACAGUUAAAGACCUUGCAGACUUGGGCCUCAUCAAACUCCAGCAGGGGAGGAAAGACAGUUGGUUCAUUCCAACUAAACUGGCUACAAACCUCUCUAUAAGCCUGUCGGAUGCGUCAUCAAGGAAACAGGGAUAUGUUGUGGUGGAAACAAACUUCAGGCUAUACGCCUACUCCACCUCUAAGCUACAUUGUGAAAUCUUGAGGCUCUUUGCCAGGGUAGAAUAUCAACUUCCAAACCUUAUUGUAGGAUCCAUUACAAAAGAGAACUUAUACAAAGCCUUUCAAAAUGGCAUUACAGCCGAUCAGGCAAGUAUAAAAUACGCACACAUACAUACAUACAUGCGUAUGUGUAUACAUCGAGGGCCGUUCUAUACGGAACGCAUUUUAAGUAGAGAACUGCAAGAACCGUGACAACCACAUAAGCUCUUUACUUAUUAGUUAUUACUUUAUCUGUAUAUAUAACCGCCUUUCUUUCUCUCUCCCACUAUAUCUGUAGAGCACUUUCUAAAAGUGCUUACGCUUGCCCGGUUCCCUACUAAAAUUGAUUCUGUAAUGAAUGCUCUCUAUCGUUGUUGGGCGUAUUGGGUGGUUUGUCUAAUGUAUGUUUUCUUGUUGAAAUAGUUUGUAACCCUAAUCCACAGUUGUCAAUAGCGGCUACAGCGCGCUACGUAGCGAUGCGCCCAUAUGGCGCUAUAGGGUGUUUAGCGACAAAUAGUGACUAAAUCUGUAAUUUUUUUAUUUGUUAUUCUUUACAAAAUAUAAAUAGCGAUGCCAAUUAGGUUUUUUUAUUUUUGUUUCAAGAUUGAAAAGUAGUGUAUUUGGAUGAAAUAUACAUGUAAAAAUAGCAUAUUUGGAUAAAAUAUACAUGCAAGACAUUUCUUAAAUUUUCUAUCACUUUAUCGCUUAACAUGAAAUAGUGGGCGCUAUUUUGUCGCUAUCGCUACGUAGCAUAUUGGUAGCCUUGUCCUAUUUACCGCUAAUCGCUAUUGGCAACUAUGCCCUAAUCUUAGUAUUAUAAUUUAUAAAUAUAAAUAGCUGUCUAGGCAUUGUAAUUUCUUAUCACCUCAAUAGUAAAUCAAACCCUAGUUACAGCCGUGAAUGUAGGUUAGGUUAGACCGAACCACGUAAAUCCCUUGUGUUUUUUCUUCUGUUUUAGUGUUUGUGCGCGAGCACGAGUGUUCCUGUUUCGGAGCUGUCGCCGCCGCCAUAAUCAGUUUGUCUCCGCCACUCAACAGCAGGGCAUGCUGGUUAACUGUUGGGGGUUUGACUAGUAUAAGUUCGAUGUUAACACAAAAGAAAGGAACUUUCUUUAAAUCCAGUUUAGAAACUUGAGAAACUGCAGUGCCCUUUUAUAGGAUAUUGGUAUGUCGAAAAUUAUCUGCAUGCAUGGCGCACGUCCAUCGGUUAAGACUAGGCCUGGCAAAAGUAACCCGUCCAGCUUAGUUUGGGUCAAUAUGGGUCAUAAUAGUAAUUUUUUGGGUUGAUCUGGGUCUAUUAUAAACUUUGAUGGGUUAAAAUGGGUUAGAUAAAAAAGAUGACAAACCUGGAACGGGUUAGAACGGGUCAAGAUAAAAAAUGGAAUGGGUGAAUUAGGGUUGAACCUCAAAACAGAACGGGUCUCUGGGUGAAGAAUGGAGGCUGAAAAUCUUAAAUCUUCUCUGCUUAAUCUCGCUUAUGAAAUCAUCGAUUCGUUCUGAAUAAUCUCAGCCAUAACCGUCUUCUACAUUGUUCCCGUCUCUAACCCUAGAGAUAAUUUCAUUUCUUCAGCAGAAUGCUCAUCCUCGUGUUGCCGAAAGAGUGCCAUCUGUACCAGAAAACGUCACGGAUCAGAUUAGGCUAUGGGAAUCGGAUCUUAAUAGGGUCGAGAUGACGCCAGCUCAUUUCUUUGAUGACUUCCCAUCAAGGGACAUGUUUGAAGCAGCCUGCGAUUUCGCAAGAGAAUUCAGCAGUUUGCUAUGGGAAGACUCGAAAAAGAUGCGCCUUAUAGUGAAAUCCGAAAUCUAUGGGCACAUGAAAGAUCAUCUCAGCCGUCAAAAAUAGCUUCAGCAUUCAACUGUUGGUUUUUUCGGUAACCAAAGAGAGUUUAAAUUGCAAACUCGAUUCACUGUUAUAUAUUGUUUAAUUUUUUCAGUGUC